UACGAAGGGGGCUAGCGUUGCUCGGAAUCACUGGGCGUAAAGCGCACGUAGGCGGAUUGUUAAGUCAGGGGUGAAAUCCUGGAGCUCAACUCCAGAACUGCCUUUGAUACUGGCGAUCUUGAGUUCGGGAGAGGUGAGUGGAACUGCGAGUGUAGAGGUGAAAUUCGUAGAUAUUCGCAAGAACACCAGUGGCGAAGGCGGCUCACUGGCCCGAUACUGACGCUGAGGUGCGAAAGCGUGGGGAGCGAACAGG
rnacentral:rRNA from 1 species